GCCCCCCGUAUCCCAUCAGGCUUCUAAGUCCUCUAAGAAGACCACGAAGCGGCCCUGACACGGGCAACCCGAAUAUAUGGGAAACUACUUUUCAGGAGGUGGUGUAGACAGCGUCGCUCCUUCACCUGGAGGAGGGCCGGGCGGAGAAUCUUCUUAAUUGGCACGCGGACGCGCCUUUCGGGAGGAUAAUGUCAGCAGUUUGGAAUGUUUGUGUGUGUCUUUUUCUCCCCAUGUGCUCCGUGACCUAGUUUUCCCUCGUUUAAUUAGUCAUUUGGUUCAGGUGUGUCCAGUUCAUUACUCUCAUUUAGUUCUGUAUUUAAAGUGUUGUCUGUUCCUUGGUUCCUUUGUCCAGUGUCAUCUACGUAAUGUGGUUGUCUUCCUAGUUCUCUGUGUUAGAGUUAUAAUAAAUAUGUGGUUUCCCGAUGCUGCUCCUGCGUAAUGCUCUUCACCGCAGCCACAUGUGACACCAUGAGAACUAUGAUUGCAGGUUGUUCUUGGGAUAUGUCCAAUCCAAUUCACUGGAUGGAAGGUGACAGAAGCAUAAAAGCUCAUAGAACCAUGUUGCUGAUUCUGAACACUUAAUUAGCUUCGUCCCAGGAGAGACUGUGUUUCAAACAAUACACAAAUCAGGCAGGAUAUGUUCUGAUAUGAUACAUGCAAACCAAAGAAAAUCAGUUUCAUAGACCUUGGAGACAUCACUUACUUAACAUGGCAUGUUUGCAGAGAUCUUUCGCUUGCUUAUUUAUUUUUUAUUUUUUUCCUAUAUAGCACGUUCCUCUGUUUCAACUAAUUUGUGUGUGAUUCAACGCAUAUACUGUACUAAUAAAAUAUGAUCAUUGAAUGCACUGUAAUUACAGAGAUAGUUCCUUAGUUACAAUGAUAAAAUAUAUUGUAACUAAGGAACACACUAAAUCAUUUUCCAGCUGUUAUUGUUCAGUAGUUAAAGGGGAAGUUAUGCUGUUUCUGCCCUACUAUUGUUA
ensembl:lncRNA